GAGGGUAGGCCCCUCGAAGCCGCUUUUCAGGAGGAGGCUUCAAACCGCCUUAAGCUGCCUUGGUAAAGAGCCUUGGUAGUGAGCGUUAAGGAAAAGGCAUCAUGAGAUGUCAGGU
rfam:Aliiroseovarius crassostreae strain CV919-312 plasmid unnamed, complete sequence, whole genome shotgun sequence.